CUCGCCGCCUCCUGCACCUCAAAAGUAAUAAGACCUCCGCAAAAAUAAGACUAAGCGUUUAUUUCGGGGGUUAAAAGAAAAUAAAACCCUGUCUUAUUUUCUGGGAAACACAGUAGUUUGGUAAUGAAAUGUCUGAAAGAAAAUAAUCAAGCUCAGAGAGAGCCAAGGGUCCCAUACUUCAACCUGAACUACAAACAUUCUCUUCUAUCGGUUUCUGUGCCUUUCUUUGCUAUGGAAAGUAUUACUACAAUUAAACCAAAUUAAGUUAUUAAUGAAACUGAAAACACAAGAUGUAUAUAUGGUUUGUUGUUAAAUUGAAAAAUUUGCAUAGAGGGUUAAACAAUUGUAUCUAGGUUAAUUCAUUGCUUAAUUUUCUUCUUUUUUUCUCCCCCAGAUGCAGACAGGGUGGAUAGCACAACAGUUUUGGGGCCCCCGUGUGCAGAUUGCACAAAAAGGAGGUUAGGAGAGAGUGGGAAUGACCGAGCGAAGAAGGCUAGACACCCGAAGGAUGAUGCUGCUGAAGAUGGUGUCCUUCUGUGACUAUAUCAGACCAGUCUUCGAGAAACUUCUCCUUACUUUGGCCAUUUGCAUCUGCUGGGAGUCAAAUAAUGGAUAGGUGUAGACUUCUUACAAAGUCUGCUUGGGAGGGGAGAUCCUUAUAAAUAUCACAUCCAAUAAUUCAAAUUUCAUAGCUGUUCUUGGGGGAAGAGCAGAUUUCUAAAUAUGUCAGGGAUGAAAUCUUGGAAAAGAGGGAGCUAUGGCCUAUGAAAUGGCAUUUAGUUUUUAACUUUGGACUCCCUUCAUCUUAUUUCAAUCCAUGCACUGUAAGUUAAAACACAGGACGCCUGUUCCUUCCCCUGAAGGGCUACGUGACACCUGGUGAGAGGAAAAAGGCACACAAUCUGAGCACAUUCCAUGUGUCUAGGCAAAGAACUCUUGAAUUUUUCCUAGAUAGUACUGGGAGUUCUCAUGCAGGCAGUUGCAAAGGAUCAGUGGCUAAAUGCUAGUGGUGUUUCUGAAUCUUAGUAACUUGAAGACGUGUAGACUUCAACUCCCAGAAUUCUUCAGUUAGCAAGGUGGGAGGAAUUCUGGGAGUUAAAGUCCCCAUACAGUGUCUUAAAGUUGCCAAGGUUGAUAAAUACUGUGCUAAUGUAACAAAGUAUAUACAUUUUGCAAGUUCUUGAAGAAAAAAACUUGAACAAAAUGAGAACAUGUAUUUGUGUUAAUUUCUUUGUACUUGAAUAAAUAAAUUCAUAUAUAAUUCAGA